GCAGUCGAGCGGAAACGAUUCUAGCUUGCUAGAAGGCGUCGAGCGGCGGACGGGUGAGUAACGCGUAGGAACCUGCCCGAUAGAGGGGGAUAGCCAUUGGAAACGAUGAUUAAUACCGCAUAAUGUCUACGGACCAAAGUAGGGGAUCUUCGGACCUUACACUAUCGGAUGGGCCUGCGUAGGAUUAGCUUGUUGGUGAGGUAAUGGCUCACCAAGGCGACGAUCCUAGCUGGUCUGAGAGGAUGAUCAGCCACACUGGAACUGAGACACGGUCCAGACUCCUACGGGAGGCAGCAGUGGGGAAUAUUGCACAAUGGAGGAAACUCUGAUGCAGCCAUGCCGCGUGUGUGAAGAAGGCCUUAGGGUUGUAAAGCACUUUCAGCGAGGAGGAAAGGUUUAAGAUUAAUAAUCUUAAGCUGUGACGUUACUCGCAGAAGAAGGACCGGCUAACUCCGUGCCAGCAGCCGCGGUAAUACGGAGGGUCCGAGCGUUAAUCGGAAUUACUGGGCGUAAAGCGCGCGUAGGCGGUUUGUUAAGUUGGAUGUGAAAGCCCAGGGCUCAACCUUGGAACUGCAUCCAAAACUGGCAAGCUAGAGUACAGUAGAGGGUAGUGGAAUUUCAGGUGUAGCGGUGAAAUGCGUAGAGAUCUGAAGGAACAUCAGUGGCGAAGGCGACUACCUGGACUGAUACUGACGCUGAGGUGCGAAAGCGUGGGGAGCAAACGGGAUUAGAUAC
rnacentral:rRNA from 1 species